rnacentral:rRNA from 1 species
CGGCUGCAGUGAGGAAUUUUGCGCAAUGGGGGAAACCUUGACGCAGCAACGCCGCGUGAGUGAUGAAGGCUUUCGAGUCGUAAAGCUCUGUCAAGUGGGAAGAACCUGAAAGAUGAUAAUACCAUUUUUCACUGACGGUACCACUGAAGGAAGCACCGGCUAACUCCGUGCCAGCAGCCGCGGUAAUACGGAGGGUGCAAGCGUUAUUCGGAAUCAUUGGGCGUAAAGGGCGCGUAGGCGGCCUCUUAAGUCAGAUGUGAAAGCCCGGGGCUUAACCCCGGAAGUGCAUUUGAAACUAAGGGGCUUGAGUAUGGGAGAGGGAAGUGGAAUUCCUGGUGUAGAGGUGAAAUUCGUAGAUAUCAGGAGGAACACCGGUGGCGAAGGCGACUUCCUGGACCAAUACUGACGCUGAGGCGCGAAGGCGUGGGUAGCAAACAGGAUUAGAUACCCCUGUAGUC